rnacentral:rRNA from 1 species
UACGGGAGGCAGCAGUGGGGAAUAUUGCACAAUGGGCGCAAGCCUGAUGCAGCCAUGCCGCGUGUAUGAAGAAGGCCUUCGGGUUGUAAAGUACUUUCAGUCGUGAGGAAGGUGUUAAGGUUAAUAACCUUAGCAAUUGACGUUAGCGACAGAAGAAGCACCGGCUAACUCCGUGCCAGCAGCCGCGGUAAUACGGAGGGUGCGAGCGUUAAUCGGAAUUACUGGGCGUAAAGGGCACGCAGGCGGUUAAUUAAGUUGGAUGUGAAAUCCUCGGGCUUAAACCUGGGAAUGGCAUUCAAGACUGGUUAGCUAGAGUCUUGUAGAGGGGGGUAGAAUUCCAUGUGUAGCGGUGAAAUGCGUAGAGAUGUGGAGGAAUACCGGUGGCGAAGGCGGCCCCCUGGACAAAGACUGACGCUCAUGUGCGAAAGCGUGGGGAGCAAACAGGAUUAGAUACC